rnacentral:rRNA from 1 species
UGAGGAAUAUUGGUCAAUGGGCGAGAGCCUGAACCAGCCAAGUAGCGUGCAGGAUGACGGCCCUAUGGGUUGUAAACUGCUUUUAUAUGGGAAUAAAGUGAGGGACGUGUCCCUUAUUGCAUGUACCAUAUGAAUAAGGACCGGCUAAUUCCGUGCCAGCAGCCGCGGUAAUACGGAAGGUCCAGGCGUUAUCCGGAUUUAUUGGGUUUAAAGGGAGCGUAGGCUGUUUGUUAAGCGUGUUGUGAAAUGUAAGAGCUCAACUUUUAGAUUGCAGCGCGAACUGUCAGACUUGAGUGCGCACAACGUAGGCGGAAUUCAUGGUGUAGCGGUGAAAUGCUUAGAUAUCAUGAAGAACUCCGAUUGCGAAGGCAGCUUACGGGAGCGCAACUGACGCUGAAGCUCGAAGGUGCGGGUAUCGAACAGG